rnacentral:lncRNA from 1 species
CAGUAGCAGGCUGCUGCUGGGAACAAGUUAGCCAGGACUCCUUCCGGUUCAUGGGCUGCCUAGGAAAUACAUCUUCAGCUGAGGCACGGCUCUGCUUGUGCUGCAGGGUCCUGGUGCAGACACAGCUGUGCAGUGCCCUGCAAACACAGAGACCUCGCCAGCCUGAAGCAUGGGCUGGUUGAAUGGGUCUCAUGUGGGACAGAUAGGAUGGGGUAGGCCUGUUUUCUUGGGGAUGACAAGUUGAACUUCUCUCUUUCUGUCCGCAGGUCCCUUAGCAGGCUGAGAAGGGAGGGCAGGAGGCCUCACGGACACCACAGCCACUGGGACAAGGGUUUGCGGGGCAAGAGUAGUGUCGAGGCAAAGGCUGGAAGCCCGAACAGCAGGCACCAGUUGCAGUUUGUUUGUCAGGCGCGCAGAAUGAGGACAAGACUGCAGAGCUGUUGCUGAUGCACAGGAUACAACGGCCACAGCAGAUCAGAGCUGACGGAGCCAAACCGGAAAAGCAGUGGGGACAGCAAUGCCUGCAAGCACAGGGUGGAGCAGCCAAGAGAAGCUGUCCCAGUGCAGAAGCUCUCUUGGGCUGGUGCAUGUGGCUACCCAGGCUUCUGGGAUGGUGUUU